rnacentral:rRNA from 1 species
CGUAGGUGGCAAGGCGUUAUCCGGAAUUACUGGGCGUAAAGCGCACGCAGGCGGCUGCGUAAGUCUGACGUGAAAUCUCUCGGCUUAACCGGGAGCGGUCGUUGGAAACUAUGCGGCUUGAGGCGAUGAGAGGGUGUGGAAUUCCCGGUGUAGUGGUGGAAUGCGUAGAUAUCGGGAGGAACAUCAGUGGCGAAAGCGGCACCCUGGCAUUAGCCUGACGCUCAGGUGCGAAAGCGUGGGAGCGAACGGGAUUAGACUACCCGGUAGUCCACGCCGUAAACGAUGAACACUAGGUGUGGGUGGUCUCAAAAUCAUCUGUGCCGAAGUAAACGCGAUAAGUGUUCCGCCUGGGGAGUACGGCCGCAAGGCUA